UGUGUAUUCCGUGCAUCAUUCAUCAUAAGAAGCCAAAGUUAUUUAAUAGAUAUAAACGUAUUUAUGAUUUUAGAUUUUAUUCAAAUAUUCACAAUAUACUAGUUAAUCUGUUGCCAGUUAUUGACGGUCUCGGCCCCGUUAAAGAGAUCCUUGAUUUUGUCAUACAAUGUAGUGCUCAGACAUUCCCUCAUUUCAUUGUAUCAAGUAUGGCCAAGCAAAUGACUAGUCCUUACCGAGUUCAAGACAUCAAGUAAGACCAGGCAAUAUUGGAAUCUAGCUGCUCUUGCUUUACUUACCUCCCUUCUCUUGCUCUACUUACCUCCCUUCUCUUGCUCUACUUACCUCCCUUCUCUUGCUUUACUUACCUCCCUUCUCUUGCUCUACUUACCUCCCUUCUCUUGCUUUACUUACCUCCCUUCUCUUGCUCUACUUACCUCCCUUCUCUUGCUCUACUUACCUCCCUUCUCUUGCUCUACUUACCUCCCUUCUCUUGCUCUACUUACCUCCCUUCUCUUACUUUACUUACCUCCCUUCUCUUGCUUUACUUACCUCCCUUCUCUUGCUCUACUUACCUCCCUUCUCUUGCUCUACUUACCUCCCUUCUCUUGCUCUACUUACCUCCCUUCUCUUGCUUUACUUACCUCCCUUCUCUUGCUCUACUUACCUCCCUUCUCUUGCUCUACUUACCUCCCUUCUCUUACUCUACUUACCUCCCUUCUCUUGCUCUACUUACCUCCCUUCUCUUGCUCUACUUACCUCCCUUCUCUUGCUCUACUUACCUCCCUUCUCUUGCUCUACUUACCUCCCUUCUCUUGCUGUCCCUGAGCCGCCCUUUCUGGUGGCCCUUUAUCCUAAAACAAUGUCAAUUUACCCAUGGUAUCUUUGACCGUGUUACAUCGUAAUGCAAAACUUAUCUUUGCACCCGGAUGCGACCCCAAAUUCCACCAAAACGUUCUGAAUGAAUAGGAUUGUUUACCCAAAAAAAGCAGGACUUCAUUUUUGUGAUGAUACGAUUUGUUCUAGAUUUGCAUACAUUACACAUAAAUGCAUGUACUAUUCCUUAAGGCUUUGGUCUGGACUUUUUUUUCAGAUGUUAACUAUGGAGAGGAACUAUAGUAAUUUUACCAAGGAGACUUCGAUUCAUGAAUCUGCGGUACCACCGGUAACAGAGUUUGUCUUGGGAGUACUUGGUGUUGUCGUGGCUGUGAUCGUUCUGUCCAGAGAUAAACACAAAUAGCGACCGUUUUACCGUCUGGUAGCGGCUCUAGCACUUACAGACGGCGGAGGAAUACUUUUAGUAUACCCUACAGUCAUGCUUCGGUUAAAAAGGAAAUAGUUUACGCAUAUUUUUCAACAGUCAAUAUUUUUGAAUUUGUACAUUAGACAAAUUUCAAUUAUCUUUUUCUUAAUUGUUUUAAUAUAAUCCAGUGAGAUGUAAGUUAUUGAAUUUCUUCUAAGGAACCUUACAGUAGAUAAAGGAGAAUAGUCAAAACGAUAGCGGCUCCAGUAUUUGCUUUCCUUAGUCAACCUCUUAUGUGCAGUGAGUCGCACAAGAUAUGUGUACAGCGCAGGGAGUAACAAUGCAAAAAGAUGUCUGCACUGAAGACCGUGGACCCAAAGUGGACAGAAGAUAUGGAUAUCUAGAGGUGUUGUGUUGGCCGGAUUCGAGAAUUUAAAAAAUUCUUCUAAAAGAAAAAUACAAGUGUUUGAAUCAAUCUUCGAAAUGAGUACUAUCACCGGAAGUCAUUACUUUAUUUUUAUACUAUAAAUUUUUUUUUUAUUUACUGUAUUCUUUAUUUUCGAUAUUAACUCUGUCAUUAAUGAUUUAUGUAAACUGAUGAGCGGUAUAGCUUAAAGUUAAUAAAGAAUUGAAAACUGCAU